GGUUUUAUAGUUUAAUAAAAAUAUUAAAUUGCAAGUUUAAUGAUGAAAUUUAGAGUUUUUAAAACUU
rnacentral:tRNA from 1 species